GUGGGGAAUAUUGGACAAUGGGCGAAAGCCUGAUCCAGCCAUGCCGCGUGUGUGAAGAAGGUCUUCGGAUUGUAAAGCACUUUAAGUUGGGAGGAAGGGCAGUAAGUUAAUACCUUGCUGUUUUGACGUUACCGACAGAAUAAGCACCGGCUAACUUCGUGCCAGCAGCCGCGGUAAUACGAAGGGUGCAAGCGUUAAUCGGAAUUACUGGGCGUAAAGAGCGCGUAGGUGGUUUUGUAAGUUGGAGGUGAAAUCCCCGGGCUCAACCUGGGAACUGCCUCCAAAACUGCAUGACUAGAGUACGGUAGAGGGUAGUGGAAUUUCCUGUGUAGCGGUGAAAUGCGUAGAUAUAGGAAGGAACACCAGUGGCGAAGGCGACUACCUGGACUGAUACUGACACUGAGGUGCGAAAGCGUGGGGAGCAAACAGGAUUAGAUACCCGAGUAGUCC
rnacentral:rRNA from 1 species